GCAGGAAUCUGAUACAGGGCUCGAAUAAAAGGAUCUUGGCGGAAGUCCCUCAGGGAGAUUGGAGAUUCCCAGUUUAGUGGGAGUCAAGGCAUGGGUAAGGACUCAUCAGGUCUGUGUCUUGGGCUUGGAGGGGCACCCCAGGCCCGAGAUGGAGCGUUGCGCGUCCCAGCCUGCGCCUCGAGUGCCAAGGAGACUCCUAGGACCAGACUGUGUUCCCACCUUGACUCACCGCGGCUCUGCACCGGUUGGGUAUUCUCACCAUAGCAGGUGUGGACUCUGAGGCUCAGAAAGCUUAUGUGGCUUCCACUCCUCCGAUCCAGUCUCCACUCAGCAGCCAAAGUGAUCUUUUAAAAUAUAUCUCAUCUUUUUCUCUGUGUAUUACUCUUAAGGAAAAAAAUGUUUUGUUUUGUUUUGUUUUUAAAGUAUGCUGCUAAGUCACUCCUCUGUAUGAAACUGCCUCUUGGUUUUCCAUUGUGUUUAGAAUAAUAUCUGAGCUCUUUUUGACUAAGGCCUACAAAGCUGUGAAUGAUCUGUUCCCUGCCUACAUCUUCAAUCUCCUCAAGCCCCCUCUGCCCCUCUUUCACCUACCCAGCCACGCAGGCCAAACUCAUUGUCACCUCAGGGCCUUUGCACAUGCUGUUCCCUAUGCCUAGAAAGCACUUAACCUUGCUCUUUCACAACUGGGGCCUUUCACCAUCUGCAUCCCUGCUGGAAAGUCAGGUGUCAGAGAUGCCAUCCGUGAUGAUGCAACCUAAAGUCAGUAUCACAUUACACGGCACUUAUCCGAGGGUAACUUAUGUUACACUGUUUUAUUCACCAGCCUGUCCACGGUGCCCAGAACAGUGUUUAGCCCUGAGUAGAUGCUCGUUAAAUAUUUGUGGAUGAAAUGAAUGAACGCUUUGCCCAAAUCCCCAGUGCUUACAGGUGGUAGAACUGGGGUUGGAACCCAAGCUCCCCUGGUUCCCGGGAUGCUCGUCCCCCACCCACCACACUUCAUUGUAUGACCUCAUAGGCAGAGUUGACUCUUUCCUCCUCCUCGGUUUGUGACGCGUCACCACUGUAAACAAGGCCCCUCUCGGUGUGCUCAGGCAGCUUCCUUGAAUCCUGUCUGGUUCUCUUCUAUACAUGGCUUGGCUCCUAUAUGGAUGCUUGAAAUUUACAAACAUGCUGUCGUGUAUAAGACUCAUCCUGUUUACGGUUUUACACUCAACACUAAUGUUUUCCACAUGCAUCUCAUUUGUUACUUCUGCUAGUUACAUGUAAUAUGCCACGUUGAGCAUCCAGUACUCUUAGUAUCCCCCACACCCUUCAGUGAUGCACCCCUUAGCUUGGCCUCAGUGCCCCUGUCACAUACGUCACUGCUGCGAACACCUAUCUUCAACUGUCUCCUUAUGGACUGUGGGAGAAUUCUCCUCGAAGUAGGACUUCCAGGCCACAGGGUACACGCACCCUCGGCUUCCCAAAGCACCGACGGUGCUCUCCUGGGUGGCUGUUGGAACUUCCACACUUACCGCGAGGGUUCUGGUUUUCCGUUAGCACUUGGCUUUCCAGUUUUCUGAUGCUUGCUAAUCUGACGCAUCUGAAGUGGUUCCUAACUUCCAUCUGGGUUCUCUGAUGACUAGGGAAUUUGAAUAGCUCUUCAUGCACUUGGCAGUCAUGGUGGUUCCCUCUUCCGUGAAUUGUCUCUUUGGGGAGCCUUUGUCUAUCUUUUCUGUUGGGUUUCUAGCCUUCUUUCUACUGAUUUGCAUGUCUACACACAGCUAAGCAUCCGUGCUUUGGUGUUGCACAUAUCUCUUCUCUUUGUCUCCUUACUUUGACCGAGUUUCCCUUCGUUAACAAUGCUCGGAGUCCUGGGGUGGAGUGCAGGCUUGGGCCCACGUCCCACGGGGGCGUUCUCCGUGAGCGCCGCCUUGGCUCCCGCCGGACCCCCCACCGAUGGAUGAUGGGGGCUCUGGAUGCCAGCACUGCCCUGGAGUGGCUCCGGGAUGGGCCUGCUACUUCCUCUCCCACACCCCAGCACUCUCGCUCAAAGACCUGCAGGGGAUGCCCCCAAGAACCCUCCCCCAGACUCAGGUGAGAAACCUGCUGAAAUGGAAUACUGAGUUCAAAGACCCUCCGCUGCAGGCCUCCCCAGCAUGGUUUCAGCCCUAACUGCGUCGCCAGCUUGCAAAACAAGCUUGCCUUGGCUGUUUUGGCUGCCCCGUACCCCCGCCCAUCGCAACCUGUGCCUUUUUCAAAUGAGGCUGCCAGGGGAUCCACACCCCUGCCACCCUCCACGUGAAUUCCAGUUCUCUCCACAUUUCUAUUUGAGGACUUCUCUAAAGCCAGUGGUGUCAAAGGACAAGGUCCUAAGACUUUCCACGAACAGCUAACCCUUCUAUGUCUCCCGCUUUCUCAUCCUUCUACUUCUGCUUUUUGCGUUGCAGAGCCCCUCCUACAAGCAUGAGAAGAAAAGAAAGAAAAGUGAAAGAAAGAAAAAAGAGAGAGAGAAAUACCACUGGCCCAGGGUAGAGAUGCUCACGGACAGGUUCCUGGCGGACCCAGAGUGAGGACGGCUGCUCAGAACCCGUGUCUCCAGUCGCAUUGGAAACGCCCCGGCAGCAACACGCAGGAGGAAGCGACCACAGCAAACCCUUGCCUCCUACGGACACUGGCACAAACAGGCAAAUCCCCCAAGGAUGGAUUGGGUCCACGGGAUGCGGACUAGGUUAUAGGAAAGUGGUGCUAAAUAUCUCACUGUGUUCCCAGCUUCCAUUGAGGGCAGGACCAGACCAGAAACUGUGUAAACUUCCAAGAACGUGGCCUUGCUUGGCGUGUUCACGAGUUGUUUGACCCAUGAUAUACAUGGGACUAAACCCUUGACUCAUGAUUUUCUACAGCAUAUCACUAAUCAGCAAAAUAAAGAACAAGAGUUUUCAGGCCA